rnacentral:rRNA from 1 species
GCUAAUCGUACGUCUAAUUGGUUAGUUUGCGGCCACGUGCCCAAACCUUUCGUGUCCAAGGUGUAACCCUUAAUACACUUAUGACCGUAUUGACUAUAUUAAUUAGAAGUGGUGUACAGGUGAGUAAACGAUAUUCUGGCUACCUAAGAGUUAAGGUAAACAAAUGCCUUAUAUUAUACAUUAUACAGGGGUGGGUAGGUAUAAGAGAAAAAUAUUUUCGCUCUUAGAUGUAAAUUAAUAUCUCGGACAGGUAAUAUUUAAGGUAAUGGCUUAAAUAGCUUAUGUCCGUAGUCGAGACUGAGAGGUCGAUCGACCACAUUGGGUCUGAAAAAACCCCAAUGCGCAUCGUACAGCAGUGAGGAAUCUUGGUCAAUGGCCUAACGGCUGAACCAGCAACUUGGAGGAAUGUAUAUAUAUAUAUUAAUUACAAUGCAAUAUAUAUAAACCGACACUUCGGUAAAGUUCUGGAUAGAAUACUGAUAAUGACAUUUUUCUAUCUAUAUGUCUUGACCAAAUUUUGUGCCAGCAGUCGCGGCAACACAAAGGAGACAGCGUUAUUCAUCUUUAUUAGGUUUAAAGGGUACCUAGACGGCAUAUCAAGCCCCAAAAGGGAACGGAUAUACUAGAGUUUUAUGUGAGAGGCCUAUAGAACCAUUGGAGUAGAGAUAAAAUUUUAGGAUACCAUUGGGACUGGUAACGGCGAAGGCAAUCCUCUAUGUAAUAACUGACGUUGAGGGACGAAGGCUUGGGUAACGAAUAGGAUUAGAUACCCUAGUAGUCCAAGCAGAUAAUUAUGAAUGUCAUGGAUUAGAUGGGAUAGCAGCCUAACGGUACGGCUCUCUCUUUAGAUCUACCGAAAAUUACUUAAAUUAGAAUAAAGAGAUUUAUCCCUAAAUUUUGAUCCAUAAAUGAAAGUGUAAGCAUUCCACCUCAAGAGUAAGGCGGCAACGUUGGAACUGAAAUCAUUAGACCGUUUCUGAAACCCAGUAGUGA